AUUGAACGCUGGCGGCAUGCCUUACACAUGCAAGUCGAACGGUAACGGGUCCUUCGGGAUGCCGACGAGUGGCGAACGGGUGAGUAAUAUAUCGGAACGUGCCCAGUAGUGGGGGAUAACUGCUCGAAAGAGCAGCUAAUACCGCAUACGACCUGAGGGUGAAAGGGGGGGAUCGCAAGACCUCUCGCUAUUGGAGCGGCCGAUAUCAGAUUAGCUAGUUGGUGGGGUAAAGGCCUACCAAGGCAACGAUCUGUAGUUGGUCUGAGAGGACGACCAGCCACACUGGGACGUAGACACGGCCCAGACUCCUACGGGAGGCAGCAGUGGGGAAUUUUGGAAAAUGGGCGCAAGCCUGAUCCAGCAAUGCCGCGUGCAGGAAGAAGGCCUUCGGGUUGUAAACUGCUUUUGUCAGGGAAGAAAUCUUCUGGGCUAAUACCCCGGGAGGAUGACGGUACCUGAAGAAUAAGCACCGGCUAACUACGUGCCAGCCGCCGCGGUAA
rnacentral:rRNA from 1 species